rnacentral:pre_miRNA from 1 species
AAGAGAGCUAUCCGUCGACAGUCAAGUUAUAUACAUAUUUUAAUACUGUCAUGGAAUUGCUCUCUUUG